ensembl:snRNA U6 U6 spliceosomal RNA
GCGCUUGCUUUGGCAUCACAUACACUAAAAUUAGAACAAUACAGAAAAUACUAGCAUGGCCCCUGCACAAGGAUGACAUGCCCAAACUCUGAGUGAACAACUGUGUCU